UACGUAGGGCGCAAGCGUUAUCCGGAAUUAUUGGGCGUAAAGAGCUCGUAGGCGGUUUGUCGCGUCUGCCGUGAAAGUCCGGGGCUCAACUCCGGAUCUGCAGUGGGUACGGGCAGACUAGAGUGCGGUAGGGGAGACUGGAAUUCCUGGUGUAGCGGUGAAAUGCGUAGAUAUCAGGAGGAAUACCGAUGGCGAAGGCAGGUCUCUGGGCUGACACUGACGCUCAUGCACGAAAGCGUGGGGAGCAAACAGG
rnacentral:rRNA from 1 species